rnacentral:rRNA from 1 species
UACGGGGGGGGGCAAGCGUUGUUCGGAAUUACUGGGCGUAAAGGGCUCGUAGGUGGCCAACUAAGUCAUACGUGAAAUCCCUCGGCUUAACCGGGGAACUGCGUCUGAUACUGGAUGGCUUGAGGUUGGGAGAGGGAUGCGGAAUUCCAGGUGUAGCGGUGAAAUGCGUAGAUAUCUGGAGGAACACCGGUGGCGAAGGCGGCAUCCUGGACCAAUUCUGACGCUGAGGAGCGAAAGCCAGGGGAGCAAACGGG